rnacentral:misc_RNA from 1 species
GUGAAUCAUCGAAUCUUUGAACGCACCUUGCGCUCCUUGGUAUUCCGAGGAGCAUGCCUGUUUGAGUGUCAUUAAAUUCUCAACCUUUAUCUUUUUUUUAUUGAUAAAUGGCUUGGACUUGGGGGUUUGCUGGCGAAAGUCAACUCCUCUGAAAUGUAUUAGCUGGUUGCCUUGUGUGAACUUGUCUAUUGGUGUGAUAAUUAUCUACGCCGUGGGCUGUUUGCCGUUUUAGCACUGCUUCUAACUGUCUGUUAACUCGGACAAUAUAUGACAAUUUGACCUCAAAUCAGGUAGGACUAC